rnacentral:Y_RNA from 1 species
GGCUGGUUCAAGUGCAGUGGUGUUUAUAACUAAAAAAAAAUAUCACAACCAGUUACAGAUUUAUUUGUGCCUUCCCCACUCUCACUGCUUCACUUGACUAGCCUUAA